rnacentral:rRNA from 1 species
CCUACGGGAGGCUGCAGUGAGGAAUAUUAGUCAAUGGGCGGAAGCCUGAACCAGCCAAGUAGCGUGCGGGAUGAAGGCCCUACGGGUCGUAAACCGCUUUUGCACGGGGAUAACACCCUCCACUUGUGGAGGUCUGCAGGUACCGUGCGAAUAAGGGCCGGCUAAUUCCGUGCCAGCAGCCGCGGUAAUACGGAAGGCCCGAGCGUUAUCCGGAUUCAUUGGGCUUAAAGGGAGCGGAGGGGGGCGUUCAAGUCAGCGGUAAAAUCGCGCGGCUAAAGCGCGCACCGCAGUUGAAACUGGACGCCUUGAGUGCACAACAGGAGAGCGGAAUUCGUGGUGUAGCAGUGAAAUGCAUAGAUAUCACGAGGAACCCCGAUUGCGAAGGCGGCCUGCCGGGGUGCGACUGACGCUGAGGAUCGAAGGUGCGGGUAUCAAACAGGAUUAGAUACCCGUGUAGUC